rnacentral:tRNA from 1 species
UCCCUGGUAGCUCAGCGGUUAAAGUAUCUGCCUGCAAUGCGGGAGACCCAGGUUCGAUCCCUGGGUUGGGAA